rnacentral:rRNA from 1 species
UACGGAGGGGGCAAGCGUUACUCGGAAUUAUUGGGCGUAAAGGGCGCGUAGGCGGUUUGACAAGUCUGAUGUGAAAUCUAUGGGCUCAACCCAUAGCCUGCAUUAGAAACUGUCGGGCUUGAGUAUGGGAGAGGUGAGUGGAAUUUCCGGUGUAGCGGUGAAAUGCGUAGAUAUCGGAAGGAACACCUGUGGCGAAAGCGGCUCACUGGACCAUAACUGACGCUGAGGCGCGAAAGCUAGGGGAGCAAACAGG